rnacentral:rRNA from 1 species
UACGUAGGUGGCAAGCGUUGUCCGGAAUUAUUGGGCGUAAAGCGCGCGCAGGCGGUCCUUUAAGUCUGAUGUGAAAGCCCACGGCUCAACCGUGGAGGGUCAUUGGAAACUGGGGGGACUUGAGUGCAGGAGAGAAAAGUGGAAUUCCACGUGUAGCGGUGAAAUGCGUAGAGAUGUGGAGGAACACCAGUGGCGAAGGCGACUUUUUGGCCUGGUAACUGACGGCUGAGGCGCGAAAGCGUGGGGAGCAAACAGG